GGGACACCUGCAUCUGCCAACAAGACUGGAAGCAGAAAGGGACAGAGACGGCGAAGUUUGACGGUCUGGAAAGCAGAGACCAGCAGGGCUGACUGCUUGGGAGCACCAAAUAUCCGGACAGCGCCUCUCGGGAGGUCCGAGAAGAGAACCGCGAUCUGUUUCAGCACCGGGGCUCAGGACAGUUCCCAGCGGGCUCCGUUUCGUCUCCAGAACCCUGGACAGCUCCUCCAGAGACGGGGUUUCACCAUGUUGGCCAGGCUGGUCUCAAACUCUUGACCUCUUCAUCCGUCCACCUCAGCCUCCCAAAGUGCUAGGAUUACAGGCGUGAGUCACUGCGCCUGGCCCAAGUCCGGAAUUUUCAACAGCUUGGAAUGCACUCCCUCCACCUCCAACCAGAGCUCCCCACAACUGACCCUGCCUUCUUCUGCAAGCUCCAUUUCAUCAAGGGAAACGAUCCUUAUUGCCUCACCAUUUCCCACGUGAAGUCUGUAUUGACAUUCUCAUAGACCUGGGAUAUUGUGUCUGCAGCACAUAGUCCAAUUAUUUUCAUGUUAUCUACUGACAGGUCUAUUUGUCUCCCUGUUACACUGUGAGCUCCGUGAGGGCAGAAACAAUGUUAGUAUUUUCACUGCUGUGUCCCCAGCGCCUGGUCCGGGGCCCGGCACACAGCAGGCAUAUAAUAAGCAUGUGUUGAAUCAAUAAAGGCAUCAAAGAAUAAACCAAUACAUCAAUCAAUAAA
rnacentral:lncRNA from 1 species